CACUCUCGUCCCGCCCCUCGCACAUGGGGAGGCGGCUCUGACGCUGGACCCGGACAGGGGGCGGGACCGAGGCCUAGGUUGGGGGCACUGUGCACCGAGUGCGCGCGGGCUUGGGGUUGCCGUCUGGGGAGGAGCGGGGGCCUCAGGGCUACGCUAGGUGCCCACUCACCUCGCUGUGUCCUAAGCACGUUCGCCAUCCCGGGCCCUGCGUCCCUCCCGCAUCCCUCCCGGUGGGCUGACUGCGGCCCAGCGAGUGGUGACGCUACCUGCCCCGGACUCCUUAACCACUGCUUAGAAGGAAAGUACUUUGGAAUAGAACUGCGCCCCUUGCAGCCCGGCCUCCUGGACAGAGCAUCUGGCCCAGGCCUUGUGCAGACAACGAGGUCCUUUGCAGCAGCCUGGCCUCUAAAUUUAUGCAUCUGCAUACCUGCUGCUGACAUCUUCUCUGGCUGGGAACUCCUGGCCCUGUAUUUAGAGACCUCGAACACACCUGGGCACAGCAAAGGACACCUCUUACAUGACCACGGGACCAUGGCAUCAUCAAGGGUGAAUGACAAGCGGGGCAAGAAUGGCGGGAAUUUGGGGGGAUUUCUCAAGCUCCUUACUUCCCCAUAUCUGGUUAUUUUGAAAACCCAACCACUUCCUCAGAGUGACCCCCCCCCCCCCAGCCACACCCACAGAAAAGAAAAGCCUUUUGAGUUGCAUUUUUUGGAUAUUAUUAGCACAAUAAUAUGAAUGCUUGGCUAGGCCCCCCAAGAACAUUCUAGAGCAGGCAGAGUGUGCAGAGAAGGCAGCUCUGGCCAGGUAACAAGCCAAGGUCACCCAGCAGGCACCCUUCCUAAAGGGAACUUGUGUGGUGUGUGUUUGUGACCAUGGAAGUCCUUCCACCCAG